AUCUUUGGGGCGGGGCGAAAUUCCCCACCGGCAGUAUAGUCUGCGAGCCUUUUUGGGUUGAUACGGUGAAAUUCCGUAACCGACGGUAUAGUCCGGAUGGUAAAAGAC
rnacentral:ncRNA from 1 species